AAAAGGAAAAUAACAAAAGAAUAAGCAAGUGGAUAGAAAUAGAUUAGUGGAAAGACACAAAGAGCCAAACCUUCAAUUCACUUCACAGAUCGCUCGGCGACAAAGACGACGAAUCCGAGGAAUCCAGCAAGUGUCCAGAGACGCAGACUAACUCCUCCUCAGAUUCAGAAAACCACAGGCUUGAGAGAGUGUCGGUGACGGAAGUAAGGAGGAGAUUCCAUUUGUGCGAGAACAGAGGUAACUCUUUGAAUAUUCUUAUCUCAAUCUCAAAUUCCCACGAACGACUCUUAUCUCCUUUUGUAUUGGUAAUGUCGAUUGAGAUUCGAUUCUUAUUUAUCUUCUGCAGAGGCAAUGGAGUCCACCGAGUCAUAUGCCCCUGAAGAGCUCACCAACAGAUCCCCUGAACCUUCCGAAGAUGGUAUUCCCGAUCCGAUCUGCUCUUUUUGAGCAAAGAUAAUGCAUUUCCGUGUGAUAUUGACAUGGUAGAUUUGGUGCUGUUCGUUUGGUUGACGCAGCCGGCGUUAAUUUUUUUAAUAAACUCUUGUUACUAUAAUAAAAGUAAUAAUGAAAAUUAAAUGAGCAUCUAUAAUUAAUUUAAGAAUAUUAGCUAAUAGUUUAUGAACCCGAAACUACUAAACUGAAGUUCUCAAGUUUGGAAUAAUCACUUUAAUUAUUAUUUUUGUUUCAUUAUUUUGAGAAUCUUAUUUAUAUUUUAUUAAUAUAUAAUGCUUAAAUGAGAUUUUUAAUAAAAUUUUAAAUUAGAAACAAUUCUCAUACUCUUUCUAAAAUUUUAAUAAUUUUAAAAUAUCCACUAAAACCAUUGGACAUGUUUUCAAAAGAUCUUAUUAUCAACAUUUUAAAUAUAUAAAACUAAAAAUUAAAGUAUCCAGUUUUAAUAAAUAUGAUUUUAAUAUUUUUUUAAUUUAAAAGUUUCAGACUUUCUCGAAUUUUAAUAUUAACUUUAACAAAAUUAGUAUGUUACGGAGCUUAACUAACCAAUUUAAAUAAAUGUCAACAUAUAUAUUUUAACCUCUGAACAAAAUUCAUAUUCUACACAUUGUUCAAAUUGAAACAUGUCAUUUUUGAUGUACAACACUAGGGUAUAUUCAAUAAAGUUUAUACUGAUUUGACUUUUAGAUGACUUUAUAUGAAUUGUGUAACUCAGAAUGAUUUUUGUUAAACCACUCUGAAUAUCCUCAAGGUGAUUUCAUGUCGGUCAUUAAAUAAUAAUACUCAUAAUAAAAGUCAUCUCACACAAGUGAAUCAAAACCUUCAGCACAUAAUACGCAAAUUUCGAGUAGGUCCAAACACAAAAAUUAGAAACAAAAUGAUCAAAUAGAUACCAAGCAAGGGAAGAAAAAAACAUCACUUACUAACAUAAUAUGGUUAUUACGUUCUGAAACAUUGUAAACAUCACCAGAAUCAAGACUUGAAGAGCAUUUCAAGGGAUUCAAAGAAGAGAGGAGCGAUCUCAGGGGUUGGAGUCUUGACCGCACA
rnacentral:lncRNA from 1 species